UACGAAGGGGGCUAGCGUUGCUCGGAAUCACUGGGCGUAAAGGGUGCGUAGGCGGGUCUUUAAGUCAGGGGUGAAAUCCUGGAGCUCAACUCCAGAACUGCCUUUGAUACUGAAGAUCUUGAGUCCGGGAGAGGUGAGUGGAACUGCGAGUGUAGAGGUGAAAUUCGUAGAUAUUCGCAAGAACACCAGUGGCGAAGGCGGCUCACUGGCCCGGUACUGACGCUGAGGCACGAAGGCCAGGGGAGCAAACGGG
rnacentral:rRNA from 1 species